GUCGAACGCUGGCGGCGCGCCUAACACAUGCAAGUCGAGCGAAGCGGCGGUCGGGUGAGUAACAUGUGAGUAACCUGCCUUAGACAUAGGGAUAGCCUCGGGCAACCGGGAUUAAUACCAAAUGGUCUAAGAUGGACUCGCGUCCCAUUAGCUAGUUGGUGAGGUAACGGCCCACCAAGGCGACGAUGGGUAGCCGGCCUGAGAGGGUGACCGGCCCCAUUCGAACAGAGAGACGGGCCAAACUCUACGGGAGGCAGCAGUCGGGAAUAUUGCACAAUGGAGGGAACUCUGAUGCAGCGACGCCGCGUGAACGAAGAAGUCUUUCGAGUCGUAAAGUUCUUUUAAAUGGGAAGCGGUACCAUAAGAAAAGGCCCCGGCUAACUACGUGCCAGCCCCCGCGUAAUAC
rnacentral:rRNA from 1 species